AACGAACGCUGGCGGCAUGCCUAACACAUGCAAGUCGAACGAGACCUCCGGGUCUAGUGGCGCACGGGUGCUUAACGCGUGGGAACCUGCCCUUAGGUUCGGAAUAACUCCCCGAAAGGGGUGCUAAUACCGGUUAAUGUCUUCGGACCAAAGAUUUAUCGCCUUUGGAUGGGCCCGCGUUGGAUUAGCCAGUUGGUAGGGUAAAAGCCUAUCAAGGCGACGAUCCAUAGCUGGUCUGUGAGGAUGAUCAGCCACACUGGGACUGAGACACGGCCCAGACUGCUACGGGAGGCAGCAGUGGAGAAUAUUGGACAAUGAGCGGAAGCCUGAUCCAGCAAUGCCGCGUGAGUGAUGAAGGCCUUAGGGUUGUAAAGCUCUUUUACCCGGGAUGAUAAUGACAGUACCGGGAGAAUAAGCUCCGGCUAACUCCGUG
rnacentral:rRNA from 1 species